rnacentral:rRNA from 1 species
UACAGAGGUCCCGAGCGUUGUUCGGAUUCACUGGGCGUAAAGGGUGCGUAGGUGGCGAGGCAAGUCGGAUGUGAAAUCUCGGAGCUUAACUCCGAAACGGCAUUGGAAACUGCUUUGCUCGAGGAUUGGAGGGGGGACUGGAAUGCUUGGUGUAGCAGUGAAAUGCGUAGAUAUCAAGCGGAACACCAGUGGCGAAGGCGAGUCCCUGGACAAUACCUGACACUGAGGCACGAAAGCUAGGGGAGCAAACAGG